GAAAACUCCGGUGGUAAUGGAUGGGCAUGCGUUGUAUUAGUUAGUUGGUGGGGUAACGGCUCACCAAGACGACGAUACAUAGGGGGACUGAGAGGUUAACCCCCCACAUUGGUACUGAGACACGGACCAAACUCCUACGGGAGGCAGCAGUGAGGAAUAUUGGUCAAUGGACGCAAGUCUGAACCAGCCAUGCCGCGUGCAGGAAGACGGCUCUAUGAGUUGUAAACUGCUUUUGUACGAGGGUAAACGCAGAUACGCGUAUCUGUCUGAAAGUAUCGUACGAAUAAGGAUCGGCUAACUCCGUGCCAGCAGCCGCGGUAAUACGGAGGAUUCAAGCGUUAUCCGGAUUUAUUGGGUUUAAAGGGUGCGUAGGCGGUCGGAUAAGUUAGAGGUGAAAUCCCGGGGCUCAACUUCGGAAUUGCCUCUGAUACUGUUCGGCUAGAGAGUAGUUGCGGUAGGCGGAAUGUAUGGUGUAGCGGUGAAAUGCUUAGAGAUCAUACAGAACACCGAUUGCGAAGGCAGCUUACCAAGCUACUUCUGACGUUGAGGCACGAAAGCGUGGGGAGCAAACAGGAUUAGAUACCCUGGUAGUCCACGCAGUAAACGAUGAUAACUCGUUGUCGGCGAUACAGUGUCG
rnacentral:rRNA from 1 species